rnacentral:rRNA from 1 species
UCCUUCGGGAGUGAGUAGAGUGGCGCACGGGUCCUUAACACGUAGAUAAUCUGCCCUUGGGAGGGGGAUAACGUUUCGAAAGGAACGCUAAUACCCCAUAAGACCACGAGAUCUUCGGAUUUUGGGGUAAAAGGUGGCCUCUGUAUAUGCUAUUGCCUGAGGAUGAGUCUGCGGACCAUUAGCUUGUUGGUGGGGUAAAAGCCCACCAAGGCCGAGAUGGUUAGCUGGUCUGAGAGGACGAUCAGCGACACUGGAACUGAGACACGGUCCAGACUCCUACGGGAGGCAGCAGUGGGGAAUAUUGGACAAUGGGCGAAAGCCUGAUCCAGCAACGCCGCGUGAGUGAUGAAGGCCCUCGGGUCGUAAAGCUCUGUCAGAUAGAACGAAAAAGGGUAACCUAAUACGUUGCCUAUUGACGGUACUAUCAAAGGAAGCACCGGCUAACUCUGUGCCAGCAGCCGCGGUAAGACAGAGGGUGCAAGCGUUGUUCGGAAUCACUGGGCGUAAAGGGCAUGUAGGCGGCGAAGUGUGUCUGAUGUGAAAGACCUCGGCUCAACCGGGGAAGUGCAUUGGAAACUGCUUUGCUAGAGUAUGAGAGAGGAUGGCGGAAUUCCUAGUGUAGAGGUGAAAUUCGUAGAUACUAGGAGGAACACCUGAGGCGAAGGCGGCCAUCUGGAUCAUAACUGACGCUGAGGUGCGAAAGCGUGGGGAGCAAACAGGAUUAGAUACCCUGGUAGUCCACGCCGUAAACGAUGAUAACUAGGUAUUGGGGGUAUUGACCCCUUCGGUGCCGAAGCUAACGCAUUAAGUUAUCCGCCUGGGGAGUACGGUCGCAAGAC